UACGGAGGGAGCUAGCGUUGUUCGGAAAUACUGGGCGUAAAGCGCACGUAGGCGGCGCAGCAAGUCAGGGGUGAAAUCCCGGGGCUCAACCCCGGAACUGCCUCUGAAACUGCAGUGCUAGAAUCUUGGAGAGGCGAGUGGAAUUCCGAGUGUAGAGGUGAAAUUCGUAGAUAUUCAGAAGAACACCAGUGGCGAAGGCGACUCGCUGGACAAGUAUUGACGCUGAGGUGCGAAAGCGUGGGGAGCAAACAGG
rnacentral:rRNA from 1 species